GCCUGGGUGGCUCGGUGGUUAAGCGUCUGACUUUGGCUCAGGUCAUGAUCUCAUGGUUUGUGGGUUCGAGCCCCACAUCAGGGCU
rnacentral:tRNA from 1 species